GCGGCCGCUGUGGCGGCGGCUGUUCGCGGGGCGCUGAGGGCGAGCACCCGGACGCGGACCACGCGCCCCUUUCCCCCGGCCACGAGCCCGGGGCCUCCUGGCUUUUUGUAUUUGGAUUUUGUUUUUCUUUCCCCAGCCGAGAGGACGCGGCUGUGACAACGAAGGUUUUGUGCGGACAGUAAUGACCGCACGUUUCCGAUUGCCUGCUGGCAGAACCUACAAUGUCCGAGCAUCAGAGUUGGCCCGAGACAGACAGCAUACAGAGGUGGUUUGCAACAUUCUUCUUCUGGAUAACACUGUACAGGCAUUCAGAGUUAAUAAACAUGAUCAGGGGCAAGUUCUGUUGGAUAUAGUCUUCAAGCAUCUUGAUCUGACUGAGCGAGACUAUUUUGGUUUACAGUUGGCUGAUGAUUCCACAGAUAACCCAAGGUGGCUGGAUCCAAACAAACCAAUAAGGAAGCAGCUAAAGAGAGGAUCACCUUACAAUUUGAACU
rnacentral:lncRNA from 1 species